rnacentral:rRNA from 1 species
AAUUGGAACGCUUGAUGAUGAGUCUGCGGCUCAUUAGCUUGUUGGUGGGGUAAAGGCCUACCAAGGCGACGAUGAGUAGCCGGCCUGAGAGGGUGAACGGCCACACUUGGACUGAGACACGGCCCAGACUCCUACGGGAGGCAGCAGCUAAGAAUCUUCCGCAAUGGACGAAAGUCUGACGGAGCGACGCCGCGUGAACGAUGAAGGCGGAAACGUUGUAAAGUUCUUUUCCUGAUGAAGAAUAAUGAUAGGAGUGGAAAGCCUGUCAGAUGACAUUAUUCAGGGAAUAAGCCCCGGCUAAUUACGUGCCAGCAGCCGCGGUAAUACGUAUGGGGCGAGCGUUGUUCGGAUUUAUUGGGCGUAAAGGGCGCGCAGGCGGUUUAACAAGCUUGAUGUGAAAUAUCCCGGCUUAACUGGGGAGACGCGUUGGGAACUGUUAGACUAGAGUUUAGUAGGGGAAACUGGAAUUCCUGGUGUAGGGGUGAAAUCUGUAGAUAUCAGGAAGAACACCAAUGGCGAAGGCAAGUUUCUGGCCAUAGACUGACGCUGAGGCGCGAAAGCGUGGGGAGCGAACAGGAUUAGAUACCCUGGUAGUCCACGCUGUAAACGAUGUGCACUAGGUGUAGGAUAUUGAAUAUAUUCUGUGCCGUAGCUAACGCGUUAAGUGCACCGCCUGGGGAGUAUGCUCGCAAGGGUGAAACUCAAAGGAAUUGACGGGGGCCCGCACAAGCGGUGGAGCAUGUGGUUUAAUUCGAUACGCGAGAAACCUUACCAGGGCUUGACAUUUACAUGACGGUCUAAGAGAUUAGGCUUUCCUUUCGGGGACAUGUAAACAGGUGCUGCAUGGUUGUCGUCAGCUCGUGUCGUGAGAUGUUGGGUUAAGUCCCGCAACGAGCGCAACCCCUAUUGUCUGUUGCCAGCAUUUCGGAUGGGGACUCAGGCAAAACUGCCGGUGACAAACCGGAGGAAGGUGGGGACGACGUCAAAUCAUCAUGGCCCUUAUGUCCUGGGCUACACACGUGCUACAAUGGCAAGUACAAAGCGUUGCGAGAAGGUGACUUUAAGCUAAUCGCAAAAAGCUUGCCUCAGUUCGGAUUGGAGUCUGAAACUCGACUCCAUGAAGUUGGAAUCGCUAGUAAUCGCGCAUCAGCAUGGCGCGGUGAAUAUGUUCCCGGGCCUUGUACACACCGCCCGUCACACCACCC